UUCAAGCUUCCAGUGCCGACUGUGAAAGAGGAUUUAGUUUAAUGAAUCAUAUCAAAACAAAAUCCAGAAAUCGUCUUGAAGUGACACAUUUGGACCAGCUGAUGCGCAUAAAGUCAAAGCAAGAAGCAGACGAAGCCAUCAACCUGGACAAAGUGUACAACCAUUGGAGAAGUGAGAAGGACAGACGUGAAAAAUAAGAACAGGACCCUCAGCCAGGCAAAGCAGGACUCUUCCCAUGGCCAAAGCAGGACUCUCACAUACUGUAUAACAUCUACACAUCCCAUUUUUCAGAUUUUUGUCUUUUUUUAAGUGGACCAAAUUACUUAUUUAAAAAUAAAGCGUGCAUAUCUAAUGUUG